UCAAUGAAAUGUCUGCUUAUAUAUUGGAUUGUUUGGUAUUUCACUGGUGCAUUUUCAGAGUUGAAAUGAGAUAUUUAGUGUUAUAUAUUCUACAUUUGUAUCAGGCCCUAACUUUGUUCUUUUGCUCCCUGAUGUUAGGAAUCUACUGCACUGGGUCAGAGGGCAAGGUACCCCUGGACUGCUGGUCACUUCACUCUGAUGUGUUGUGUCAGCCAAAGCAUUUCAUAGUGGCAUGACAGUGGGAUCUGUACUCAUUUGCACAUGCCAGUAGCAGCGUCAGUGACAGCACUGUGG
rnacentral:lncRNA from 10 species